AGAUGACACAUGCGCAACAGCUCACAGCAACUUCAGCAGCUGACGAGAUGCAGCAGAAGAGAGACUUGAGGGAAUAAACAGCGAUAAGUGGAGUUUCAUGUGAUUUAAAAGGUCUGAACUCACACUCAAACAAACCAAAAGGAAAAUAAACAAAGAAGCAAAGAAACAAAGAAGCAAACAAUCCAACACACGUGGCCGCUGUGUGCUAGCAGCUAGCUGCUAUGCUAAUGCCCGUAUAGUUGCUACGGUCAAGGCUAAUAAACAAACAACCCAGCGGUACAUUCAGGAGGGCUAGGACAUCUGACAUCAAUGAAGACGGAGGCUUCUUGAGUUUCUGAAAAACUGAAGGCGCUGUGUUCUGACUUUUUUCUGAUAUCUUCAACAUACCAUUCUAUGUCGUUGUUUCUGACAUUUUCAAUAGACUGUACUGACGUUAUGGUGUCUUUUUGUUCUUUACUCCCCACCUGAGUUCAAGGACAUCUGCUGGAGGAGUCCAAGGACAGCUGCUGGAGGAGUUCAAGGACAUCUGCUGGAGGAGUUCAAGGACAUCUGCUGGAGGAGUGAUCGGACAUCUGACAUCAAUGAAGACGUUGUCUUCUUGAGUUUCUGGAAAACUUAAGCAGUGCAGGACACCUUUUCAACCUUACCUGUUUAUGGACCGAGGU